AGCUUUGUGCAGUGGCAGUAUUGUAGCUAAUGAGGUUAAUCCGAGGCGUGAUCAUUGCUAGUUGAAAACUUUUCCCAAUACCCUACCAUGAUGACUUGAAAUAUAGUUGCCAUUGGCAAUUUUUGACAGUCUCCUGUGAGA
rnacentral:snRNA from 1 species